UGCGUAGGUGGGCAGGUAAGUCAGUGGUGAAAUCUUCGAGCUUAACUCGGAAACUGCCAUUGAUACUAUCUGUCUUGAAUAUCCUGGAGGUGAGCGGAAUAUGUCAUGUAGCGGUGAAAUGCUUAGAUAUGACAUAGAACACCAAUUGCGAAGGCAGCUCACUACGGGAUGAUUGACACUGAGGCACGAAAGCGUGGGGAUCAAACA
rnacentral:rRNA from 1 species